rnacentral:rRNA from 1 species
UCAGCAAGAUGGUUGAUUCUGCCUGACGUGGAUGCUAGUCUCAUAGGUUAAGCCAUGCAUGUGCAAGCGAAGCGUAAGUGGAGCGGCGCAAGGCUCAGUAACGGGCGAGUAUUUGAUCUCCUAGAGUGGAUAUCCUCUGUAACCGGAGGGCAAAGCACAAGAUGAGCGAUUGACGAGGUCGUUCGUUUAACGAAUAGUGUAGGAGAGUAAGAAGCCAUCCCAUCAGUUAGUAAGUAGGGUAAGGGCCUACUUAGACGAAGACGGGUACGGGGAAUUAUCGUUUGAUUCCGGAGAGGGAGCCUGAGAGACGGCUACCAGGUCCAAGGACAGCAGCAGGCGCGAAAAUUACCGCAGCCUGCGUUCAGGGCGGUAGUAAGGAGACGUGAAAACAAUGUGCGGGCAAAAAACGCACUAGAUACAGGAGGACAAGACUGGUGCCAGCACCCGCGGUAAUACCAGCUCCUGGAGUGUCUAUGAUGAUUGCUGCAGUUAAAGAGUUCGUAGUCGAAGUGGUUAUAACGGUGUAACAGGCCUUCUCUCAAGGAGGGUUAUGCGCCGUGAUUCCACGGAAUAAGGAGCGUUUAGGGGCCAGGUUAUUAAGCGACGAGGGGUGAAAUCUGGUGACUCGCUUAGGAGCAACAGAGGCGAAAGCGCUGGCCAGGAGCGAAUCCGAUGAUAAAGGACGUAGGCUAGAGGAUCGAAGACGAUUAGAGACCGUUGUAGUUCUAGCAGUAAACGAUGCCGAUACCGUGGUGCGGAUACGCGACGCGGAAGAGAAAUCGAGUAGGGCCCUGGGGAGAGUACACGCGCAAGCGAGAAAUUUAAAGGAAAUUGACGGAAGAACACCACAAGGAGUGGAGUGUGCGGCUUAAUUUGACUCAACGCGGGACAGCUUACCAGGCCCGACGGCCGGACGAGUGUUGUACACGAUAGGUCGAAGAGUGGUGCAUGGCCGUUAACGACGAGUGAGGUGACUUUUGGGUUAAAUCCGGGAAGUAGUGAGACCCCUACCGAAAGGGACAGGUGCCGAAAGCACAGGAAGGAAGGGUCAAGAACAGGUCAGUGAUGCCCUCAGAUGGUCUGGGCUGCACGCGCACUACAGUGGUCAUAGAAAUGAAACGAUAGAAUUAAAGAUGAUCGAGAGGGAAUGAGCUUUGUAAGAGGCUCAGGAACGAGGAAUUGCUGGUAAUCGCGGACUCAUUAAGACGCGAUGAAUACGUCCCUGUUCUUUGUACACACCGCCCGUCGUUAUCGAAGAUGGAGUCAGGCGCGAACAAGCGAGAGCGAGUGAGUGCAGGAUUCUAGAUGUGAUACAAGUCGUAACAAGGUAACCAUCUUCUAGAAG